CUGACAGCUCUGUCCCUGCAUCCCAGGCCACUGCUCUGGCCCCAUCAACAUCCUCAGCAUCUCCAGACUCCCUGCAGCUCUAGACCACAUCCCUGCACAGAUCUGCUCUUCCUGCCAUCGUCCCUGAAAGACUGUGAUAUAGUAAGAAAUAGGUGGAUUUCGUCUUUGUACUGUUUCUGGCACAAGAGCUGCUGAAACACUUGCAACUUCCGGGUGGGGUAAGAGGAGCAGCUAUCGUUGUUCAGAACAAGCCCUACUUCAAAGCUCGUGCUGAUAAAGUGACUCUUGGAGGUUUGGGGCUGGUUUGCCAGAGGAAUGAACCUUGAGAUUCAAGACUGGAGCUUUCAGGACUUCCCUAGGGGUCCAGUGGCUAAGACUCGGCAAUUCCAAUGCAGGGAACGGGGCGGCACAAGUUCAAUCCCUGGUUGGGUGAGGGAACUAACGUGCUGCCUGGGAUGCAGCCAAAAAAAAAAAAGAUUGGAGCUUUCAACCUCAUCCCCACACUGCCAGGGAGAGGAGGGGGUGGAGGUUGCAUUCAGUCACCAAUAGUCAGUGAUUUAAUCAAACAUGGAAUGUCCGUAAAACCCUAACAACAGGUUUUGGAGGCUGUCGGGUUGGGGAACACACCAAGGGAAGGGUGGGGUUCAAGAGAAGGCAGGAGAGAUCUGUGUGCCCCCUCCCAGGCCUCCCCUCACCACUCUACAUACGCCCUCUCCAGGAAUCUCUUCCAUCUGGUUGUGAGUUGUAUCCUUUAUAGGAAACUGGCAAAUACACGGAAACUGUUUCCCUGAGAUCUGCGGAGUCAGUCUAGCACUCUGAUGACCCUGAGGAGGCAGUCGUGGGAACCCCUGAUUGAUGGCUAGUACGUCGGAAGCGCAGCAGGCCUGUGACUGGUAACUGGAGUCUAAUUGGAGGCAGUUUUGAGGAGUUGAGCCCUGAACUUGAGGGCUGUGACUCUAGCUCCAGGGAGAUAGUGAUGGGAUCGAAGUGAAUUCUAGGAUACCCAGACUGUGUCCAGAAAGUCGGAGCAUAGAUUGCAUGCUGCAUGCUCAGUUGCUCAGUCGUGUCCAACUCUUUGCAACCCCAUGGACUAUAGCCCACCAGGCUCCUCUGUCCACGGGAUUCUCCUGGACAGAUUCUGGAGUAGGCUACCAUUUCCUUCUACGGGGAAUCUUCCUAGCCCAGGAUCCCCCAUCUCCUGUACUGGCAGGUAGAUUCUUUACCCUGAGCCACUAGGAAGUCACUAUGUCCAUAGGCUGAGAAUAACACGGAUGACACCUUUCUGUGCCUCUCUUCCAUCUCUGCAUUUAGAGAUAGCAACUUGGGAGCUUGAAGCUGGCCGUGAUGGGAGUAUUGACACCACAGAAAUCAGGGACCUUUACACAUUAGAGCUUUCAAUAGCCCCAGAGAGCCAGUUGUUAGACAUCUUCCAGCACACUGUGGAGAAAGAGGGUGAUGCUGUCAUCUUGGCAGACAGAAAGGAGGAAAGGACAGCACACUCAGGUAGAUUUGUGGGCUUCAUGGUGAGACAAUGAGGCUUUUUUUUCCCUGUCGACUUCCACUUUUCUCUGAAGUCAGCUGCUUGCAUGAAGAAGCCGAACAGGACAGAAGCCUAGAGCCAUGGAUCCAAACCAGCUCAGCUUAGAAACCGAAGUGAUGGGAGGUGCAGAGCAGAGCAAGGGGAUGCAAGGCCCGCGGGAAUGGAUAAAUAGGAAGAGCUGAGAAGGCAGGGGAGGACGCGUACCACCUGGGCAGGGCGGAAAGCUGGGGAGAGGGAUGUGCGCAUGGGCGUUCAGAGCGCUGCCUUUUGACAGGGUCUGAUGCGCGGGCCCUGCGCUGCAGGCGUGGCGACCGAGAUACGCUUGGACCUUGUCCUGCAUUCUGGGAUUCACGUUGGAGGAACCUGUUUCUUCAUCUGUAAAAGGCUAUCAGUCAGUUCAACGAGUCAAUCGUGUCUGACUCUUUGCGACCACGUGGACUGCAGCACGCCAGGCUUCCCUGUCCAUUGCCACUAUAAAGUGAUAUAAGCAAUGAAAACACAUGUAACGUGCCCAAGUCAGAGAACGUUCUUGAAAUGUUUGCUUUCCUCCCACCGAACGCCCCACCUCACUUUCUCCCACCGGAACACCCAGGUCUCCUGAUCCCCACGUGCACACAUGUUCAGAAACGCUAAAAGAACCACCGUUUCUCCACUUCCAUCCAGACUCCUCUUUAGCAGAGGCGGUUUUAAAGUCAUGUGUUAUUAGAAAUCUUAUAAUGUACAGUUUGUAAACGGCAAGUCAGAAAUUGGAAGCUCAGGCCAGGAUCCUGAGACUGCCUGUCCGACAGCAGAGGCAUCAGAGAAUGCACUCAUUCAUAAGCUCGCCAGAGAGACGAGGUGGAAAAGACACUGACGUACAGACAGGAAGUGCAGACAAGGCUAAUUCGUUGCCACUGAAGCUUGCUGAGCGUGGUCUGGCUGUGACGUAAAUUAUUCAUGCAUUCCCCACGGCACCCUUGUGUUGAAGGCUGAUGUCAGGACAGGACCCCGAGUUCCUCUUCUGCCCCCGCCAGAGCUGAGCCGCGGUGUACAGAGUCGACACACCAUCCAUCCUAAAAUCCACUCUGUCCUCCAAGGGGGCCCACAGUGCAAGGCUGGCCAGUGCAACUAGGCUUCCUUGUCCAACUGCCAGAGACAGAUGGAUUCAUUCAGUUGCCAGCCCAAUACCCCCUGAUAAUGGUGAUAAUGUCUGGAAUUGAUUUAUGGUGCUCCUCUUGCCAUGAGAACGCAGUGGAGGCUGGACUGUGUAAGUGGCCUUUUGCUGCAGGUACAGAAUCAUCCUCUAAUUGUUCAUCUAAUGUUUCAGAUGUCCUAGUCAGGAAUAACAAAUUCAUGUGCUAUAGGGGCCCAGAAGUCACAGUGGUAAAGAGUAAGAUGAGAGACUUGCCUAGUGGUCCAGUGGCUAAGAAUCUGCCUGCCAGUGCAAGGGACAUGGGUUCAAUCCCUGCUCAGGGAAGAUUCCACAUGUCACAGAGCAGCUAAGCCCAUAUGCCACAACUACUGAGCCCUCGUUCCUAGAGCCCAUUCUCUACAACAAAAGAAGCCACCACAAUGAGAAGCCUGUGCAUUGCAGUGAAGAGCCAGCACAGCCAUAAAUAAAUAAAUUUUAUUUUUUAAAAAGGAGUAAGAUGAUAGGGCGUGUUGGGGAAUGUCCGAGAGGAGAUUGCCUGUCCCAUCCUUCCAGACGGCUCCUUGCAGACCCAGCACAGAUUGUUGGCUUCUGAGGGCACAUGUCUUGGGUUAUUGCAUCUUCUGACUUUUCACAAGAAGCUGGAUUCCCAGAUUUUAAUGUGGAAAUCUCCUAGUUUUUAAAUUUAAGUGCUGAGUGAAUACUUCCAUUGGUCCAGUUCAACUAGAUUGUUUAUAAUCUCUGAUCUUAUUUGUUUCCCUGUGUAAAGGUAGCCUUUCACAGGAAGGGACAUCACUGUUUCUCCCACAUUCUCUUUUGUCCUCUCUUACACCGCAUCAUUCUUUGCAUAACGUGUAGCAUUUAUAUCAGUUAUGAUCUUCAACCUCAGUCACCAAUUUACUGCUCUGGUAUCCCAGACUCUGUGCUCCAGGUUCUUUUUCUUCUUCAUUAUUGCUUUCUGUGUCUUCUCCUCAUUUCUCAAAGGCCUCCAGACACCUCAAAAGGAAAGGCAGCGUGAACAGGAGUCAGUAAUGACUGUCUACUGACAACACGCCUUCAUCUCUAAGACAGCAUUUUCUCUCUUUCGAAGCCAGGUCAUUGCCAAGAUGGCAGGAGUUUAGCAGAGAAAAAGGGAGGAAUUCCAGGGUAGAGUCCAAAAGGCCUCUCCUUCCGUGUAAGGCGGCGCUCAACAGUUAAUGCGCACCCGACUCGCCUCCUAGCAUCCUCCGCCCCUCCUGCUCCCAGGUCCCACCAUCUGUGGGGACAUUCUCCCUUUUCCGGGACGUGUUCUGUGGUGGGGGCCCACUGCUCCCUCAUGCUCUCCCCGACUCAGCCCAGUACUUUGUGUUUGAUGACAGAUCCCAUCUGGUUACCCUCAAGUAACCAGAAGCAUCAGGUAGAAUUCAGUGACAUCCCUGGCUCUUUUGAGUCUAACAGGCCAUUUAUUUUUUAUUUAUUUGUUUCUGUAGUAUCGGUAAAGUCACAAAUUGACUUACUGUCCAUAGAGAGCAGAUCCAGACCAUUUCUUUAUUGACGAAGUCGACAUUUUGAGAACUACAAGACAGCUGGAGAAGAUACUAAGGCACUUGUGGGGCUUCCUGGGGCAAAGACUCCGCGCUCCCAGUACAGGGGACCUGGGCUCGAUCGCUGGUCAGGGAACUACGUCCCCUAUGGCACAACCACAAGUUCACGGGGCACAGCUAAGGAUCCUGCGUGUCACGGCGAAGACCGAAGGUGCUGUGUGCUGCAGCUGAGACC
ensembl:lncRNA